GUUGGGUAACACUAACUGGAGGACCGAACCGACUAAUGUUGAAAAAUUAGCGGAUGACCUGUGGCUGGGGGUGAAAGGCCAAUCAAACCGGGAGAUAGCUGGUUCUCCCCGAAAGCUAUUUAGGUAGCGCCUCGUGAAUUCAUCUCCGGGGGUAGAGCACUGUUUCGGCUAGGGGGCCAUCCCGGCUUACCAACCCGAUGCAAACUGCGAAUACCGGAGAAUGUUAUCACGGGAGACACACGGCGGGUGCUAACGUCCGUCGUGAAGAGGGAAACAACCCAGACCGCCAGCUAAGGUCCCAAAGUCAUGGUUAAGUGGGAAACGAUGUGGGAAGGCCCAGACAGCCAGGAUGUUGGCUUAGAAGCAGCCAUCAUUUAAAGAAAGCGUAAUAGCUCACUGGUCGAGUCGGCCUGCGCGGAAGAUGUAACGGGGCUAAACCAUGCACCGAAGCUGCGGCAGCGACACUGUGUGUUGUUGGGUAGGGGAGCGUUCUGUAAGCCUGUGAAGGUGUGUCGUGAGGCAUGCUGGAGGUAUCAGAAGUGCGAAUGCUGACAUAAGUAACGAUAAAGCGGGUGAAAAGCCCGCUCGCCGGAAGACCAAGGGUUCCUGUCCAACGUUAAUCGGGGCAGGGUGAGUCGACCCCUAAGGCGAGGCCGAAAGGCGUAGUCGAUGGGAAACGGGUUAAUAUUCCCGUACUUGGUGUUACUGCGAAGGGGGGACGGAGAAGGCUAUGUUGGCCGGGCGACGGUUGUCCCGGUUUAAGCGUGUAGGUGUGUGUUCCAGGUAAAUCCGGUUCACUUUAACACUGAGGCGUGACGACGAGGCACUACGGUGCUGAAGCAACAAAUGCCCUGCUUCCAGGAAAAGCCUCUAAGCAUCAGGUAACAUCAAAUCGUACCCCAAACCGACACAGGUGGUCAGGUAGAGAAUACCAAGGCGCUUGAGAGAACUCGGGUGAAGGAACUAGGCAAAAUGGUGCCGUAACUUCGGGAGAAGGCACGCUGACACGUAGGUGAAGUGAUUUACUCAUGGAGCUGAAGUCAGUCGAAGAUACCAGCUGGCUGCAACUGUUUAUUAAAAACACAGCACUGUGCAAACACGAAAGUGGACGUAUACGGUGUGACGCCUGCCCGGUGCCGGAAGGUUAAUUGAUGGGGUCAGCGCAAGCGAAGCUCCUGAUCGAAGCCCCGGUAAACGGCGGCCGUAACUAUAACGGUCCUAAGGUAGCGAAAUUCCUUGUCGGGUAAGUUCCGACCUGCACGAAUGGCGUAAUGAUGGCCAGGCUGUCUCCACCCGAGACUCAGUGAAAUUGAACUCGCUGUGAAGAUGCAGUGUACCCGCGGCAAGACGGAAAGACCCCGUGAACCUUUACUAUAGCUUGACACUGAACAUUGAGCCUUGAUGUGUAGGAUAGGUGGGAGGCUUUGAAGUGUGGACGCCAGUCUGCAUGGAGCCGACCUUGAAAUACCACCCUUUAAUGUUUGAUGUUCUAACGUGGACCCGUUACCCGGGUUGCGGACAGUGUCUGGUGGGUAGUUUGACUGGGGCGGUCUCCUCCUAAAGAGUAACGGAGGAGCACGAAGGUUGGCUAAUCCUGGUCGGACAUCAGGAGGUUAGUGCAAUGGCAUAAGCCAGCUUGACUGCGAGCGUGACGGCGCGAGCAGGUGCGAAAGCAGGUCAUAGUGAUCCGGUGGUUCUGAAUGGAAGGGCCAUCGCUCAACGGAUAAAAGGUACUCCGGGGAUAACAGGCUGAUACCGCCCAAGAGUUCAUAUCGACGGCGGUGUUUGGCACCUCGAUGUCGGCUCAUCACAUCCUGGGGCUGAAGUAGGUCCCAAGGGUAUGGCUGUUCGCCAUUUAAAGUGGUACGCGAGCUGGGUUUAGAACGUCGUGAGACAGUUCGGUCCCUAUCUGCCGUGGGCGCUGGAGAACUGAGGGGGGCUGCUCCUAGUACGAGAGGACCGGAGUGGACGCAUCACUGGUGUUCGGGUUGUCAUGCCAAUGGCACUGCCCG
rnacentral:rRNA from 1 species